rnacentral:rRNA from 1 species
UACGUAGGGGGGCUAGCGUUGUCCGGAUUUAUUGGGCGUAAAGAGCGUGUAGGCGGCCAGAUAGGUCUGCUGUGAAAACUCGAGGCUCAACCUCGAGAUGUCGGCGGAAACCAUUUGGCUAGAGUCCGGUAGGGGAGUGUGGAAUUCCUGGUGUAGCGGUGAAAUGCGCAGAUAUCAGGAGGAACACCGACGGCGAAGGGCAGCACUCUGGGCCGGUACUGACGCUGAGGGCAGCGAAAGCGUGGGGAGCGAACAGG